UACGUAGGGGGCAAGCGUUGUCCGGAUUUACUGGGCGUAAAGCGCGUGUAGGCGGCCACGCAGGUCCGUUGUGAAAACUGGAGGCUCAACCUCCAGCGGUCGUUGGAAACUACCCGGCUAGAGUCCGGAAGAGGAGAGUGGAAUUCCUGGUGUAGCGGUGAAAUGCGCAGAUAUCAGGAAGAACACCGAUGGCGAAAGCAGCUCUCUGGGACGGUACUGACGCUGAGGCGCGAAAGCGUGGGGAGCGAACAGG
rnacentral:rRNA from 1 species